UACGAAGGGGGCGAGCGUUGUUCGGAAUUACUGGGCGUAAAGGGCGCGUAGGCGGCCGAUCAAGUCAGAUGUGAAAGUCCUGGGCUUAACCUGGGGACUGCAUUUGAUACUGAUUGGCUUGAAUUCGGGAGAGGAUAGCGGAAUUCCCAGUGUAGAGGUGAAAUUCGUAGAUAUUGGGAAGAACACCAGUGGCGAAGGCGGCUCACUGGUCCGGUACUGACGCUGAGGUGCGAAAGCGUGGGGAGCAAACAGG
rnacentral:rRNA from 1 species